GACGAAGGACCCAAGCGUUAUCCGGAUUCAUUGGGUUUAAAGGGUGCGUAGGCGGAUUGAUAAGUCAGUGGUGAAAUCUCCAGGCUUAACCUGGAAACUGCCAUUGAUACUGUCGAUCUUGAAUAUGGUUGAUGUGGGCGGAAUAUGACAUGUAGCGGUGAAAUGCUUAGAUAUGUCAUAGAACACCGAUUGCGAAGGCGGCUCACAAAGCCAUUAUUGACGCUGAGGCACGAAAGUGCGGGGAUCAAACAGG
rnacentral:rRNA from 1 species